CCCAGUUCUUAUGUCAGAGCCUCCUUCUCUCUCUCUUCUCCAAGUCAGAUUGAUCAGGGUUUCCGAAGAUUGGCUGACCUCAUUAAAGAAGCUGCAUGAUUUUAUUAAAUGAAAAAUGUCCAAGAAGCUAGAAGAUUUCAAGAUAAAACAACUUUAAAAAAAUAUGUUCCUCCAGCUGUAAAGAGUAUACAAUGAUACAGAAUAUAUGUGAUAAAGAAUGUUAUACUCUUUUAAAAUGUACAUUAACAUCUCAAAACAUUGUAUGAAUAAGUGCAAAAACUUACCUAUUAAAUUAGGUUGCCACAAAACUUUACUCAGGGUGAAAUCACCAAAGUUUUAAAUACUUUUCAGAUUUCAUGGAGAUUCUCUUGUUUUGUCUUAGUAUUCUCCCUGAAACUUUAUACAGCACAUUUCAAAAUCAGGCUUAUUUGUGUGGAAUUGAUUUAAUUUCUGUUUCUUUUAAUAAUGUUCUGUAUCUUCUAAUACUCAUCAUGGUUCAUUCAGAAAAUCUUUAAAACUACUCUAUAUGUUGUAUUAAUAUAUUAUUUGAAGUUUUCUGCAAAUGGAAACUUAGAACUCAAGGAAACCAAUUUUUACAGGUAAGAAUGAGCAGAAUUUUAGAAUAGAUUCUCUAAUAUGAGCAACUUUAUUUUUGGCUCAUUUAAAUUAAAUAUUCCAUUCUAUAAUGGUAUGUAUCGCUUAUAAAUUAAAGGCCAUAUUUGAUGUUAUUAUAGUGAUUCUUUCACAGCAAUGUUUUCCAUGGAAAUCCUGAUUUCCUAUAGUUAAAAUUUUGAAUUAAGAAAGCACAUCUUCUUAAUUUCAAUGUGUAAAAUUCCAAUGUGUAAAAGAUAUUUUAUAUGGAUAUUUUAUAUUAUUUAUAAAAAUGAUAUUUAUA